GAUGAACGCUGACAGAAUGCUUAACACAUGCAAGUCUUUGGCAAAGCUGUGCUUGCACAGCCAAGCCAAGGCGGACGGGUGAGUAACGCGUAAAGAACUUGUCCCGCAGACAGGGAUAACAGACGGAAACGACUGAUAAAACCUGAUAUAAUUGCCGGUACGCAUGUGCCUGGCAAUGAAAAGAGAUGCUGCGGGAGAGCUUUGCGUCCUAUUAGCUGGUUGGCGAGGUAAUGGCCCACCAAGGCGAUGAUAGGUAGCCGGCCUGAGAGGGUGAACGGCCACAAGGGGACUGAGAUACGGCCCUUACUCCUACGGGAGGCAGCAGUGGGGAAUAUUGGACAAUGGGGGCAACCCUGAUCCAGCAAUUCUGUGUGCACGAAGAAGGUUUUCGGAUUGUAAAGUGCUUUCAGCAGGGAAGAAGAGAAUGACGGUACCUGCAGAAGAAGCGACGGCUAAAUACGUGCCAGCAGCCGCGGUAAUACGGAAGGUUCGGGCGUUAUCCGGAUUUAUUGGGUUUAAAGGGAGCGUAGGCCGGAGAUUAAGUGUGUUGUGAAAUGUAGACGCUCAACGUCUGACUUGCAGCGCAUACUGGUUUCCUUGAGUACGCACAACGUUGGCGGAAUUCGUCGUGUAGCGGUGAAAUGCUUAGAUAUGACGAAGAACUCCGAUUGCGAAGGCAGCUGACGGGAGCGCCACUGACGCUUAAGCUCGAAGGUGCGGGUAUCGAACAGG
rnacentral:rRNA from 1 species